rnacentral:lncRNA from 1 species
GUAUAUCUGUACCUACGAAAAGCAAACCAGCAGACACGUAUCAGUGCUUCAAUAGGUAAAGAGACCUGGAGUAACUACAGAGCGCAGUAUUUCAUUUUCACACAUUUUUCCACCUUACGCUCAGUUUCCAGCCAUCAUCCCUCCUCUUCCUUCCGAUUCUCAUCUCCCGUGCCAAAAAGCAGUACAUUUCUCCCGCACUUGUUCCCAGCCCUCUCGCACAAUGACACAGCACUUCCAGCACGAUGUGCCCAGCGCCGUGACACCGGCACAGAGCCGGCCACGGGCACCACGACCGCGCUCGAUCGCGGCUCUGACGGCGCUGCCGCCCCUGCCCGGGCGGGGGCUGGGCAGGGACCCGCGAGGCACCGGGGAAGCUUCCGCGGGUCUCAGCCGGGCCCUGCGGAGCAGCACAGCGGUGUCGCGGGGAGUCGCGGGGCCCCGCGGGCAGGGCCAGCGCACAGGGCGCCCCAGUCCCGCCGCCGCUCCCGCCCGCCGCGUCCCGCCCGCCCCGGCCGGCCCAGGCCGCGGCGGUCCCGCCUGCAGGCCGCGGCCUGGCGUGCCCUGACGUCCCGUCCCGUGCCGCCCCCGCCCGGCACCUUCAGCCGGGAACUCCUCAAACUCGUCGUCCUCCUCCAGGAGUCCCAGGUCCACCGGCUGCUUCUUCUCCGACAUGCUGGGCCCGCACCGCGUCCCACCGCCCUCGCGCCUGCUGGGAUCCCGCGGCCACCGCCGCGCCUGCGCCGCUGCCGGGCCCGGCUCCGGCCCGCGCCUGCGCCCUGCCGUCCCGGCUGCUGCCGGCCCCGCCCGCCGCCGCCGGGCCCUCACCGAGCGGGCCGGGGUUCCGGUGGCCGCGGGACGUGCCGGCUCUGCCUGUGCUGCUGUUUGAGCAGCGGGAUCGUUCCUGCACCGCCUGACCGAUCUGCACAGACCGCUACCGAGCGCGGCUGUUCCCUAUCGUUAUCGCUGUGGUAUACCCAUCCUCUAUUGCCUGAAGGACCUGAACUGUGAAACAUUCUCCAAACCAGCCUGCUAGACCUUUCAGGAACAAGGCAUACCUUCAGAUUUCCACUGUGUCCAAGCUGGAUUUGACCUGGUAUGAAUGCUGAGUGUCACAACCAACAGGCUGUUUGCUGGUUGUUUGGGGAUCAAACUCCUCCAAAGUACACUCAGGUAUUUUCACUCAUGGUGGAGCAGAUUUGACAAGUAAACGACUCAGUCUGCAACAGCAAACAGCCUUCCAAGGGGAAUCUCCUGGCAGGUGGUGGAUGGGUAUGACAUACCAUAUCCCAAAUGUAUGUUCCUAACAACCAGACUACGCAUUAAGCAAAUAGAACUUAUUCUCCUGCAAGUAGCUGUUAGAAAACACUGUUUUUAGUGCCAAUCUUAUGGCUGGGAUUUCUUAACAGAGGCAUGGGAUUAAAUUAUAUUUUCUUAAGGUUUCUUCCUGGCCUUCUUAUGUAGCUUCCAGUCUGUAGGCUUUGUAUAUCCCACACUUCACUUGGCUCCAAGGAAGCAUGUGAGAAACUCACAUUUCUGCAUCUAGAAAAGGUAUCUUCAAAUUCUACAAAGCAUCACAGCAUGUAAAAAUGUGGUGAUGCCGUUUAUAGUACUCAAGCCUUCUGUGGGACCCAGGUCCAUGAAUAGUUUUCAUUCUUUAGGGAAAAUACCAUAAGGAUUCAGCUGUCCAGAACAGAUUUUCCAAUGUGGAAAAUGUGCAGGAGGGUGUCCAAGCUCCAAGUAUGAUCAGAGUUUGACGGCUUCUGGAUGGACCAUAAAGAAUAAGAGUUGUGUUUCAGUAUCUACCCUAUGCAGUCAGUGGGGAAAGGCCAUGGAUACCUCUAAGGAGCAUACUGUCAGUGAUUUUUGUCUGAUCCUUCCCCUGUGGCAGUUCCAAGACUGGAAGCAACCUUUACAGUCAUCAAGCCUGUAUUUCACAUGGACACAGGACACACAGAUCAAGGAUUAGGUUUUGAUGAAAGUAGGGAAGGCACUCCCUACAUUUCCAAAACAAUAUAAGAGAUCUGCCUUCUUGGAGCUGCAGCCUCUGCACAGCGUAUAACUGUAUGCUAAAUAGGUUGGUUUUCCAAGACCAAAAGCCUGACAGUAUUGGGUGCUUCAGCAGAGAAAUCUACAUGCCUGUUGCAUGGAAAUUAAAGGGGGAAAAUUAUUAUGGAUUUCAGUGGUUUGGGAUAUGACUAUCUCUAUUAAAACCUUUACUUAAAUAUACCCUUAACUGGUAGCAUGUAAGAAAUAAUUGAACAAGACAAUCCUGAGUAAUUCAUCAGUACCUCUAUUCUUUUCAGAGUUGCACAUCAGCUAUUUACACAAUAUGAUUUGUUUUAAUUUUUUUAUUCAGCAUGUUUUAUGCAUUAGUAUCAGAAAAGCCUGUCUUUCUCUUGGCAAAUGUUGCUCCAAGUUGUCUAGCAGGGACAUGUAUUAUGUAAAUUUAUUUAUUCAGAAUGUAAUUUGCAUAAAUGAAAAAUGGAAAUAAACACUUUUUUGAGAAUUAAAGCCUUUUUUUC